rnacentral:rRNA from 1 species
CAAAGAUUUAUCGCUUAUGGAUGGGCUCGCGUCUGAUUAGCUAGUUGGUAGGGUAACGGCCUACCAAGGCGACGGUCAGUAGCCGACCUGAGAGGGUGAUCGGCCACACUGGAACUGAGACACGGUCCAGACUCCUACGGGAGGCAGCAGUGGGGAAUAUUGGGCAAUGGGGGAAACCCUGACCCAGCAACGCCGCGUGAGGGAAGAAGGCUUUCGAGUUGUAAACCUCUGUCCUAUGGGAAGAAGAAAGUGACUGUACCAUAGGAGGAAGCUCCGGCUAACUACGUGCCAGCAGCCGCGGUAAUACGUAGGGAGCAAGCGUUGUCCGGAAUUACUGGGCGUAAAGGGUGCGUAGGCGGCGCAGUUAGUCAGAAGUGAAAUAUCGGGGCUUAACCCCGGGGCUGCUUCUGAUACUGCUGUGCUCGAGUGCAGGAGAGGUAAGUGGAAUUCCUAGUGUAGCGGUGAAAUGCGUAGAUAUUAGGAGGAACACCAGUGGCGAAGGCGACUUACUGGACUGUAACUGACGCUGAGGCACGAAAGCGUGGGUAGCAAACAGGAUUAGAUACCCUGGUAGUCCACGCUGUAAACGAUGAAUACUAGGUGUAGGGGUCAUAAGACUUCU